GGGGCUGCUUUCUUACCUCAUCACUGAUAGGCACACUUGCGCUAAGCCUUACAAUACCUCUGUCCAUAAUAGCUGACAUGUGCAUGCAAAAGGUGCAGUUUUCCUGGUUAUUUUUUGCAGGGGCAGUCCCUGUAUUUUUUUCUUUUUUCAUUGCAACUCUCUUAUGUCACUAUAACAACUGGGAUCCAGUGAUGGUGGGAAUCCGAAGAAUUUUUGCCUUUAUUUGUAGAAAACAUCGAAUUCAGAGAAUGCCGGAAGAAAGUGAGCAGUGUGAAAGUCUCAUUCCUAUGCAUAGUGUUUCACAAGAUGGAGACAGUUGCUGUUCAUAGACAAAAGUUUAAAAAUGGAAUGAUGCCCAGCGAAGAGACAAUCUUCUGGAAAAGUCCCUAAGGAAUCAUGUUUCAGUGCCUAUUCUGAAUUUGUAGUAAAAAUAAGAAGUUUCAGUUCUUUUGAAACUCUAAACUUUUCCUCUUUCUUGCUUUCAUCUGGUUUUAUAAAUGAACAAAUUUACUACAUGCCUAUCCCCAUAGGGAGUCUUAGUCCAUCUGAGCAACCAACCUGCCUUAUAAUACUGAGCUGGUGAAGUUACUUGACAAAAUCAAGAAAACAAAUGCUGUUAAGUGAUUUCUUUCCUUUUUUAACUCACAAUUUUGUUAAAUGCUGGACAAUAUUAUUUUUAAAAAAUACUUUCAAAUGUGUUAUGUAAAUAAGUUUGCAGGUCAUCAAGUCUUACAGGCUUUCAGAUGCAAAGCUAAAUAGAUAUGUAACCUGUAGUAGGUACAAAUUAACUUUUUUAUGUUGUAUAAACUAUUUGCAUAUUAAUAGAAGGAAAUAGAAAAAUAAUUUAUUAAGUGCAUUCUUGUAAUUAUUGAGGCAGGAUCUUUGUACGGUCCUGGAACACUACACAUAUAUUGUCUUAUGCCAUUUUGAGAAGCCUUGUAAUGGCAAUGGGUGCCAAUGUUUAAAAAUCUUCUGUUACCUAACAAUCUGGAAUGUUUAAAAUUUUAGUGAAUGG